CCUACAGGAGGCAGCAGUGAGGAAUAUUGGUCAAUGGGCGCGAGCCUGAACCAGCCAAGUAGCGUGAAGGAUGACUGCCCUACGGGUUGUAAACUUCUUUUAUAAAGGAAUAAAGUGAGGCACGUGUGCCUUUUUGUGUGUACUUUAUGAAUAAGGAUCGGCUAACUCCGUGCCAGCAGCCGCGGUAAUACGGAGGAUCCGAUCGUUAUCCGGAUUUAUUGGGUUUAAAGGGAGCGUAGAUGGGUUGUUAAGUCAGUUGUGAAAGUUUUCGGCUCAACCGUACAAGUGCAAUUGAUACUGGCAGACUUGAGGACAGUUGAGGUAGGCGGAAUUCGUGGGGGAGCGGUGAAAUGCGUAGAUAUCACGAAGAACUCCGAUUGCGAAGGCAGCAUACCGGCGCCCAACUGACGCUGAAGCACGAAAGCGUGGGUAUCGAACAGGAUUAGAUACCCGGGUAGUC
rnacentral:rRNA from 1 species